CCAUGGUAACCCUUGAGCCUGGCCCUAGCCCUGAAAGAACAAGAUCCAGGUGUCUAAACGUAUGCCUGAUGAUUCCAGCAGACCUGUCGAGAGCUACUUCAUCCUGUCCGUCUUGGCCAUGAUCUUUUGCUUUCCCUCAGCCUUCCAGCCUUAAUCUUAUCUUACCAGGCAAUGCUCUACAAUCAAUCAAAUGACCAUGAACAGGCAGCUACAACCACCAAAAUAGCUUUCUGCUUGGGCUUCACUGGCCUUAUUUUGGGCCGCUUCAGCUACCCCAUAUUGCUUCUUGUACUAUUAUUAUUAUUAAGGUAACCUUCCAAGCUCAUGAACAAACUACUGAAUAUAAAC